rnacentral:tRNA from 1 species
GGAGAGAUGGUCGAGUGGUUGAAGGCAGCGGUCUUGAAAACCGCCGUAGGUGCAAGCCUACCGUGGGUUCGAAUCCCACUCUCUCCGCCA